GGGAGGGUGGUAGGAUAGGGGUAGAAUUAGGAGCGUGGGGCAGAAUCAUUCAGCUUCUGGUUCUGUCUGCUCUGAGCUGCCUCGCUCCACACGCUGCAAACUCUUCUACAGGAGGGCUUGACUUCUGCUCCACCUGAAAAUGCAAGACCUCUCCGUGGCUCUGUUCUUGAUGCUGGCCUAUGUGCCAUCUCUGCAAGCCACUGGACCUUCACGUAUGUAAAUAACAUAUAUUCACAAUUAAGAACAUAUUUUGUAAAAGUAUUUUAUUUAUUAACCCUCCCCCCC